GGUUGUGAUCAUACCAGCACUAAUGCACUGGAUCCCAUCAAAACUCCGCAGUUAAGUGUGCUUGGGCGAGAGUAGUACUAGGAUGGGUGACCCCAUGGGAAGCCCUCAUGUUGCAACCCU
rnacentral:rRNA from 1 species